GCAGAGUAGAAAUUUAUGAGUUAAGUGCUAAAUAGACGAUAGGAGUGCUAUUUGGACGAAAAGUUAUCUUGCUAUAUAAAUUUCGCAUCCUACUG
rnacentral:ncRNA from 1 species